rnacentral:rRNA from 1 species
AUUGAACGCUGGCGGCAUGCCUUACACAUGCAAGUCGAACGGUAACAGGUCUUCGGAUGCUGACGAGUGGCGAACGGGUGAGUAAUACAUCGGAACGUGCCUAGUAGUGGGGGAUAACUACUCGAAAGAGUGGCUAAUACCGCAUGAGAUCUACGGAUGAAAGCAGGGGAUCGCAAGACCUUGUGCUACUAGAGCGGCCGAUGGCAGAUUAGGUAGUUGGUGGGAUAAAAGCUUACCAAUCCGACGAUCUGUAGCUGGUCUGAGAGGACCAUCAGCCAAACUGGGACUGGGACACGGCUCAGACACCUACGGGAGGCAGCAGUGGGGAAUUUUGGACAAUGUGCGCAAGCCUGCUCCAGCAAUGCCGCGUGCAGGAUGAAGGCCUUCGGGUUGUAAACUGCUUUUGUACGGAACGAAAAGCUCUGGGUUAAUACCCUGGGGUCAUGACGGUACCGUAAGAAUAAGCACCGGCUAACUACGUGCCAGCCGCCGCCGCAGUAA